UACAGAGGGUGCGAGCGUUGUUCGGAAUUAUUGGGCGUAAAGGGUGCGUAGGCGGUGCGGCAAGUCUGUUGUGAAAUCUCCGGGCUCAACUCGGAGUCUGCAUCAGAAACUGCCGUGCUGGAGUGUGGGAGAGGUGAGUGGAAUUCCCGGUGUAGCGGUGAAAUGCGUAGAGAUCGGGAGGAACACCUGCGGCGAAAGCGGCUCACUGGACCAUAACUGACGCUGAUGCACGAAAGCUAGGGGAGCAAACAGG
rnacentral:rRNA from 1 species